GGGUGUAGCUCAGCGGUAGAGCCACUGUGUCACAUCAUGAGGCCCUGGGUUCGCUUCCCAGCACCACG
rnacentral:tRNA from 1 species